UACGAAGGGGGCUAGCGUUGCUCGGAAUCACUGGGCGUAAAGCGUGCGCAGGCGGUUCGCUGUGUCCUGUGUGAAAGCCCCGGGCUUAACCUGGGAAUGGCAUGGGAAACUGGCGGGCUGGAGUGUGGCAGAGGGGGGUGGAAUUCCGCGUGUAGCAGUGAAAUGCGUAGAUAUCGGAAGGAACACCUGUGGCGAAAGCGGCUCACUGGACCAUAACUGACGCUGAGGCACGAAAGCUAGGGGAGCAAACAGG
rnacentral:rRNA from 1 species